rnacentral:rRNA from 1 species
CCGCGCGAAGGUAGCGUAAUCACUUGUUUUUUAAAUAAAGACUAGUAUGAACGGCCGCACGAGGACCUAACUGUCUCCUUUGUCCGAUCAGUGAAACUGAUCUCCUCGUGCAGAAGCGAGGAUUUUACCAUAAGACGAGAAGACCCUAUGGAGCUUUAAACUUUUAUUAACUAUUUUCUUUAUCCCUCUAAGGAACUAACAACUAAUUUAAUUUUCUUAGUAAAAGUUUUGGGUUGGGGCGACCAUGGAGAAAAAAAAAUCCUCCCUGAUGACAACCUAACUAAGAGCCACAGCUCUAAGUAUUAAGACACUUAACUCCUAUUGACCCAUUUUAUGAUCAACGAACCAAGUUACCCUAGGGAUAACAGCGCAAUCCAUUUCAAGAGUCCCUAUCGACAAAUGGGUU